CCUACGGGCGGCAGCAGUGAGGAAUAUUGGUCAAUGGACGAGAGUCUGAACCAGCCAAGUAGCGUGAAGGAUGACUGCCCUAUGGGUUGUAAACUUCUUUUAUAUGGGAAUAAAAUGAUCCACGUGUGGGAUUUUGUAUGUACCAUAUGAAUAAGGAUCGGCUAACUCCGUGCCAGAAGCCGCGGUAAUACGGAGGAUCCGAGCGUUAUCCGGAUUUAUUGGGUUUAAAGGGAGCGUCGGUGGAUUGUUAAGUCAGUUGUGAAAGUUUGCGGCUCAACCGUAAGAUUGCAGUUGAAACUGGCAGUCUUGAGUACAGUAGAGGUGGGCGGAAUUCGUGGUGUAGCGGUGAAAUGCUUAGAUAUCAGGAAGAACACCGAUUGCGAAGGCAGCUCACUGGACUGCGACUGACGCUGAGGCUCGAAGGUGUGGGGAUCAAACAGGAUUAGAUACCCGGGUAGUC
rnacentral:rRNA from 1 species